AAGUCGUAACAAGGUUUCCGUAGGUGAACCUGCGGAAGGAUCAUUAUUGAAUUAUGUUUCUAGAUGGGUUGUAGCUGGCUCUUUUAGAGCAUGUGCACGCCUGUUUAGACUUCAUCUUCAUCCACCUGUGCACCUAUUGUAGUCUUUGGUUGGGUAUCGAGGAAGUGGUUAGCCUAUCAGCACUUGCUGGAUGUGAGGACUUGCACUGUGAAAGCUCUGCUGUCCUUUACUUGACCACGGAGUCGUUUUCUCACCAGAGUCUAUGUUCAUUCAUUAUACUCUGUCGAAUGUCAUUGAAUGUAUUUUACAUGGGCUUGUAUGCCUAUGAAAAUUAUAAUACAACUUUCAGCAACGGAUCUCUUGGCUCUC
rnacentral:misc_RNA from 1 species